AACGUAAAGAACCUACCUUAUAGACAGGGACAACUAUUGGAAACGAUAGCUAAUACCUGAUAAGAAAGAAACUCGCAUGAGAGAAGUUCGAAAGUCGGAGCAAUCUGACACUAUAAGAUGGCUUUGCGGUGCAUUAGCUAGUUGGUAGGGUAAAAGCCCACCAAGGCGACGAUGCAUAGCCGACCUGAGAGGGUGAUCGGCCACAUUGGGACUGAGACACGGCCCAGACUCCUACGGGAGGCAGCAGAA
rnacentral:rRNA from 1 species